rnacentral:rRNA from 1 species
GACGAAGGGGGCUAGCGUUGUUCGGAAUUACUGGGCGUAAAGCGAGUGUAGGUGGUUGUCGUAGUCAGGUGUGAAACCUUGAGCUCAACUCAAGAAAUGCACUUGAUACUCGGCGGCUAGAGGACCGGAGAGGAUAGUGGAAUUCCCAGUGUAGUGGUGAAAUACGUAGAGAUUGGGAAGAACACCAGUGGCGAAGGCGGCUAUCUGGACGGUUUCUGACACUAAGACUCGAAAGCGUGGGGAGCAAACAGG